AUUGAACGCUGGCGGCAUGCCUUACACAUGCAAGUCGAACGGUAACAGGUCUUCGGAUGCUGACGAGUGGCGAACGGGUGAGUAAUACAUCGGAACGUGCCUAGUAGUGGGGGAUAACUACUCGAAAGAGUGGCUAAUACCGCAUGAGAUCUACGGAUGAAAGCAGGGGAUCGCAAGACCUUGUGCUACUAGAGCGGCCGAUGGCAGAGUAGGUAGUUGGUGGGAUAAAAGCUUACCAAGCCGACGAUCUGUAGCUGGUCUGAGAGGACGAUCAGCCACACUGGGACUGAGACACGGCCCAGACUCCUACGGGAGGCAGCAGUGGGGAAUUUUGGACAAUGGGCGCAAGCCUGAUCCGGCAAUGCCGCGUGCAGGAUGAAGGCCUUCGGGUUGUAAACUGCUUUUGUACGGAACGAAAAGCCCUGGGUUAAUACCCUGGGGUCAUGACGGUACCGUAAGAAUAAGCACCGGCUAACUACGUGCCAGCCGCCGCAGUAACAC
rnacentral:rRNA from 1 species